GGAGGGGUGGCCGAGUCCGGUUUAAGGCUGCCGUCUCGAAAACGGUUGGCGCCAAAAGCGUCCGUGGGUUCGAAUCCCACCCCCUCCG
rnacentral:tRNA from 1 species